rnacentral:misc_RNA from 1 species
GAUCUGAUUGUGCUAUUUUCGCUCAUUUUAUUUGUGGGUUUAAUGGAAGAAGUUGCCUUAUUGAUAGUUAAAAGUAAUAACUCUUUAAGUGGGCAAUUUAUUAAUUUUAUUUCUUUCUUUUACCCCUAGGUUAUUUUCAGUAACCUAUUAUGAAAUGUGAAUAUGAAUUCCUUACCAAUUUAUAUUUCUGUAUUAUAAGACAUGUUUGUAAUAAUUCUGUGAGAUAAAUGUGUUCUCUGUUGUUUAUGAUAGUCCAUUAUUUUUCAUAUUGAUUGCUUUAUUAUUGGGAUAUAUAUGGAUUUAUUAUGCCUCUUUGGCCUUCUGAUUGUCUUUUCCAUUUUCAGGUUUUUCCUAGAUAAUCAUUU